CUAAGAAUCUUGCGCAAUGGGCGAAAGCCUGACGCAGCAAUUCCGCGUGGGGGACGAAGGCCCUCGGGUCGUAAACCCCUUUUGUGAGGGAAGAAGUUCUGACGGUACCUCACGAAUAAGACACGGCUAACUACGUGCCAGCAGCCGCGGUAAUACGUAGGUGUCGAGCGUUGUCCGGAUUUAUUGGGCGUAAAGAGCCCGCGGCGGCUUGGUAAGUUCGAGGUGAAAUCUCCCGGCUCAACUGGGAGGGUGCCUCGAAAACUAUCAGGCUUGAGGCAGGGAGAGGGAUGUGGAAUUCCCGGUGUAGUGGUGAAAUGCGUAGAUAUCGGGAGGAACACCAGUGGCGAAGGCGGCAUCCUGGCCCUGUCCUGACGCUCAGGGGCGAAAGCGUGGGGAGCAAACC
rnacentral:rRNA from 1 species